CAUAUCAAUAAGCGGAGGAAAAGAAAAUAACAAUGAUUCCCCUAGUAACUGCGAGUGAAGAGGGACAAGCUCAAAUUUUAAAUCUAUCGGGUUUUACCUGAUCGAGUUGUAAUUUGAAGAUGGCGUUUUCUGUGUUUCUGAUCAGUCCAAGUCCUUUGGGAUAAGGCAUCAUGGAGGGUGAGAAUCCCGUUCGGUUGAUCAGAUUCGCUUUACGAUACGUUAUCAAAGAGUCAAGUUGUUUGGGAUUGCAGCUUAAAGUGGGAGGUAAAUUUCUCCUAAGGCUAAAUAACGGCGAGAGACCGAUAGUGAACAAGUACCGUGAGGGAAAGAU
rnacentral:rRNA from 1 species